AUUGAACGCUGGCGGGAUGCUUUACACAUGCAAGUCGAACGGCAGCACGGACUUCGGUCUGGUGGCGAGUGGCGAACGGGUGAGUAAUAUAUCGGAACGUGCCCAGUCGUGGGGGAUAACGUAGUGAAAAUUACGCUAAUACCGCAUACGAUCUAUGGAUGAAAGCGGGGGAUCGCAAGACCUCGCGCGAUUGGAGCGGCCGAUAUCAGAUUAGGUAGUUGGUGAGGUAAAGGCUCACCAAGCCAACGAUCUGUAGCUGGUCUGAGAGGACGACCAGCCACACUGGGACUGGGGCACGGCACAGAAUCCUACGGGAGGCAGCAGUGGGGAAUUUUGGACAAUGGACGCAAGUCUUAUCCAGCCAUUCCGCGUGCAGGACGAAGGCCUUCGGGUUGUAAACUGCUUUUGUACAGAACGAAAAGGUCUCUAUUAAUACUAGGGGCUCAUGACGGUACUGUAAGAAUAAGCACCGGCUAACUACGUGCCAGCCGCCGCGGUAA
rnacentral:rRNA from 1 species